rnacentral:rRNA from 1 species
AACGAACGCUGGCGGCAUGCCUAACACAUGCAAGUCGAACGAAGUCUUCGGACUUAGUGGCGCACGGGUGCGUAACGCGUGGGAAUCUGCCCUUAGGUACGGAAUAACUCAGGGAAACUUGUGCUAAUACCGUAUGAUGUCGAAAGACCAAAGAUUUAUCGCCUAGGGAUGAGCCCGCGUAGGAUUAGCUAGUUGGUGGGGUAAAGGCCUACCAAGGCGACGAUCCUUAGCUGGUCUGAGAGGAUGAUCAGCCACACUGGGACUGAGACACGGCCCAGACUCCUACGGGAGGCAGCAGUGGGGAAUAUUGGACAAUGGGCGAAAGCCUGAUCCAGCAAUGCCGCGUGAGUGAUGAAGGCCUUAGGGUUGUAAAGCUCUUUUACCCGGGAAGAUAAUGACUGUACCGGGAGAAUAAGCCCCGGCUAACUCCGUGCCAGCCGCCGCGGUAACAC